rnacentral:lncRNA from 1 species
GUUAACAGGAAGACCCAACUUAAACAGUGUGCGAGAGGCCACAGGCUUAACAGAAAGAAUCAGGAGAGGCCAAUGUUUUUGUUAAUCAUUUAUACAUUCUUGAGUCAUAACCUACACAUAACUUCUAUCCUAUCUGUGACCUUUUGCAGAACUGCAAAAUCAGAGGAAGAAAAAUAAUUGGAUGUUUUUCAGCCAGAUAUGUUUCAAGAUUUAGAAAAAUUUCAGAAUGUAGCAAUGCAAAGGAUAGACCAGAGCUGAUCUAGAACAUAAUCGUUACAUAUUUGGACGAGUCGAGAGAGAACCCACCAGACGAGAAAGAACAUCUGGGCUGAAAGGCUCCAUUAGAAGAGCAAUGUGGAAUGAUGCUGUGCUGGCAACUGGUAGUCCCUGCCCUACAUCUUUGCAGAGGACUGGAGCCCAGAGUGGGCCAUGGUCAACUUAUAUGUUGAAGUGAAGACCUCCUUCUAGGUGUGCAUGUGCUUAUUACAGAUAUGCCACCAUGCUAAGUACCCCCGGGCUACAGGAAAAAAUAAGAAUACACGCUGUAUCCAUGAUCAGGAGGCACACAGGCCAGAGCACCAGCUGUGGAAUCGCACAACCUGGGUUCAAAGCCUGGCUG